GGCAGGUUGCCCGAGCGGCCAAUGGGAGCGGACUGUAAAUCCGUCGCGAAAGCUACCAAGGUUCGAAUCCUUGACCUGCCACCA
rnacentral:tRNA from 1 species